CAUGUGUUAAAGACAUUGGUUUGACAAGUGAUCAAAGCUUUUAUUCUCCAUUGAUCAUAGCAGUAUCCACCCAAUUUGAUGUACUUCCCUUGCGAGGAAUGUUUGGAAUCUUUGAGUAGACAUCCAGGG